rnacentral:rRNA from 1 species
UACGGGGGGGGCAAGCGUUGUUCGGAAUUACUGGGCGUAAAGGGCGCGUAGGCGGUUCGAUAAGUCAGCUGUGAAAACCAUGGGCUUAACUCAUGGCCUGCAGUUGAGACUGUCGGGCUGGAGUGUGGGAGAGGAGAGUGGAAUUCCUGGUGUAGCGGUGAAAUGCGUAGAUAUCAGGAGGAACACCGGUGGCGAAGGCGGCUCUCUGGACCACAACUGACGCUGGAGGCGACGAAAGCUAGGGGAGCAACAGG